AGGAAUGCGGCAGCUAUACAUGCAGUCGACGCGUCUCCGUUAAUGAUUUUAGGUGCUUGCACUUGAAAGAUUUAACAUUGAGACGAGUGGCGAACUGGUGAGUAACACGUGGGUAACCUGCCCUUGAAGUAGGGGAUAACACUUGGAAACAGGUGCUAAUACCGUAUAACAACCAAAACCACCUGGUUUUGGUUUAAAAGACGGCUUCGGCUGUCACUUUAGGAUGGACCCGCGGCGUAUUAGCUUGUUGGUAAGGUAACGGCUUACCAAGGCGAUGAUACGUAGCCGACCUGAGAGGGUAAUCGGCCACAUUGGGACUGAGACACGGCCCAAACUCCUACGGGAGGCAGCAGUAGGGAAUCUUCCACAAUGGACGAAAGUCUGAUGGAGCAACGCCGCGUGAGUGAUGAAGGGUUUCGGCUCGUAAAACUCUGUUGUUGGAGAAGAACAGGUGUCAGAGUAACUGUUGACAUCUUGACGGUAUCCAACCAGAAAGCCACGGCUAACUACGUGCCAGCAGCCGCGGUAAUACGUAGGUGGCAAGCGUUGUCCGGAUUUAUUGGGCGUAAAGCGAGCGCAGGCGGUUUUUUAGGUCUGAUGUGAAAGCCUUCGGCUUAACCGGAGAAGUGCAUCGGAAACCGGGAGACUUGAGUGCAGAAGAGGACAGUGGAACUCCAUGUGUAGCGGUGAAAUGCGUAGAUAUAUGGAAGAACACCAGUGGCGAAGGCGGCUGUCUGGUCUGUAACUGACGCUGAGGCUCGAAAGCAUGGGUAGCGAACAGGAUUAGAUCCC
rnacentral:rRNA from 1 species